UAUAUUCUGUGCUUCCACUGCAGGGGGUGCAGGUGGGCAAGUUCUUCAUGCCAUGAGGUGCAGCCAAUGGAAAAAAAAAAAAAGAAAAAAAUUUAAAAAUCAGCAGUAAUCACAUUUUAAAAAGAAUCAUACAGUUCAUCAGAAUAGAUUAUUAGAUGGGAGAACAGAGACCCUGAGGAAAUCACCAAAGAGAACACAACCAGAAAGCUGGAAAGCCAGAACCAAAGGCUGGCCUUGCUGUUCUUUCUGCUCCACAUCUCUGUCCUUCAAUAGGCGUAUCUUUUUCUAGAGAGGAAACAUGAUGCACUGGCAAAACUUUAGUCUACAAAGGAUCAUGAGUCCAUAAGCUGCAACUGUUGCUUUGAAAAGGCAGAAGUAAAAGAAGAGUUGAUGGAGAUACCAGACAUGAAAGGGAUGUAAGUUCUGGGCUUUCCAAUAAUAAGCCAUCCUCCUCCAGAUG
rnacentral:lncRNA from 1 species